UACGAAGGGGGCUAGCGUUGCUCGGAAUCACUGGGCGUAAAGGGUGCGUAGGCGGGUCUUUAAGUCAGGGGUGAAAUCCUGGAGCUCAACUCCAGAACUGCCUUUGAUACUGAAGAUCUUGAGUUCGGGAGAGGUGAGUGGAACUGCGAGUGUAGAGGUGAAAUUCGUAGAUAUUCGCAAGAACACCAGUGGCGAAGGCGGCCAGCUAGACCAGUUCUGACACUGAGGCGCGACAGCGUGGGGAGCAAACAGG
rnacentral:rRNA from 1 species